GAUGAACGCUGGCGGCAUGCCUAAUACAUGCAAGUCGAACGAGAGGAAGGAAAGCUUGCUUUUCUGAAUCUAGUGGCGAACGGGUGAGUAACACGUAGGUAACCUGCCCAUGUGCCCGGGAUAACUUCUGGAAACGGAUGCUAAAACCGGAUAGGUAGCAGACAAGCAUUUGACUGCUAUUAACGUGGCGAAGGCCAUGAACAUGGAUGGACCUGCGGUGCAUUAGAUAGUUGGUGAGGUAACGGCCCACCAAGGCGACGAUGCAUAGCCGGCCUGAGAGGGCUGACGGCGACAUUGGGACUGAGACACGGCACAAACACCUACGGGAGGCAGCAGUAGGGAAUUUUCGUCAAUGGGGGGAACCCUGAACGAGCAAUGCCGCGUGAGUGGGGAAGGUCUUCGGAUCGUAAAGCUCUGUUGUAAGAGAAAAACGACAUUCAUAGGGAAUGAUGAGUGAGUGAUGGUAUCUUACCAGAAAGUCACGGCUAACUACGUGCCAGCCGCCGCUGUAAAAC
rnacentral:rRNA from 1 species